CUGGGGGCCCGUGUGGGUCCCAAGAUCAUUUCAGAACUAGCUUCAUAGUAAUAGGGUUUCAUUUGCCUUUCUUAGUUUCGCUGGAAUUUUCCAGAGAACUGAUGUAUGAUGACGUCAUUGCUCUCAUGACUGAAGGAAUGUGUGCUUGCAUGUUGUGUUUUCUAGAAUUUCCCAAGUUUUAUGGCAUCAGAAGUGGGAUCCAAAUAAGACCUUCAACAACUCUGAAGCCAGCGAGCAACUACGUGCUGGUACCCACAGGACCCAAGGAGCUCAGUGCUUUCUCAUCGACCUUGCAGUCAGCCUGAGUGCUGCUCUCUUUACAUGUUGAACUCUCCAACUUUAUCAUGCAUACCGAAUAAAAAAGGAAAAAGAAGGAGACAAAACCUAAAUGGAUAUAGAAAGAUGCAAAAGCAUUUAUAAUCAGCUACCAGCAACCCCAAUUCCAAGGAGCGGUGGCUGCACGGGUGCCGGAGGGCUACUCCACGUUCAAGGUCAGGAGGGGCAGCCCUGAGGAGAUACCCCUUGUCCAAGGUAAGGAGCAUUGGCUGUGCUUUGCUGGAGCAGCCAUGAAGAGAUACCCCAUGACCAAGGUAAGAGAAACCCAAGUAAGAUGGUAGGUGUUGCGAGAGGGCAUCAGAGGGCAGACACACUGAAACCAUACUCACAGAAAACUAGCCAAUCUAAUUACAGGGACCACAGCCUUGUCUAACUCAAUGAAACUAAGCCAUGCCAUGUGGGGCCACCCAAGAUGGACGGGUCAUGGUGGAGAGGUCUGACGGAAUGUGGUCCACUGGAGAAGGGAAUGGCAAACCACUUCAGUAUUCUUGCCUUGAGAACCCCAUGAACAGUAUGAACAGGAUACUGAAAGAGGAACUCCCCAGGUUGGUAGGUGCCCAAUAUGCUACUGGAGAUAGUGGAGAAAUAACCGCAGAAAGAAUGAAGAGAUGGAGCCAAAGCAAAAACAAUACCCAGUUGUGGAUGUGACUGGUGAUAGAAGCAAGGUCCGAUGCUAUAAAGAGAAAUAUUGCAUAGGAACCUGGAAUGUUAGGUCCAUGAAUCAAGGCAAAUUGGAAGUGGUCAAACAGGAGAUGGCAAGAGUGAACGUCGACAUUCUAGGAAUCAGCGAACUAAAAUGGACUGGAAGGGGUGAAUUUAACUCAGAUUAC
ensembl:lncRNA